UUCCACACACUCACUUUUAUCAAACUUUUGGAAACUAUGGAUGCCAACUGCCGUCAAACUCCAAUGAAGAAGAAGAAGAAGAAGAAACGUUUAGAAAGAGAAGCGGUGGUUGUGUUGAGUCCGUCAAGCUGAGCACAUUAUUGAGGACGAGUGGAAGUGAAAACACAUCGUGGAGUAUAUUUUUAUCGGACUAAUGAUGAUUGUUUCACAUCAACAUCCUGGGAUGUAAUAGAGGAAGCAUUUAAGGUCUUCAGAUGGAAGAUGCUGGUUUUAUCACUUUCCCACCGAUGUAGCAGGCUAUCCAUCGGAGACUCUGGGUUCAGACCAUACGGAGUGUUUGGUGCUGAGGCAGAUGAAGCAGCGCUGGGGCAGUCUGUGACCCUUCACUCUGGUGUAGAAGAAUAUCAUCUGAUCAACUGGAGUUUUGAGCACAGUAAUAUAGCUCGGUGUCGAGUCAACACCCCUGAGACCCGAUCGUGUGAGAUGACUGAUGAGAGACUCAGAGACAGACUGAAGACAGACAAUCAGACCGGGUCUCUCUCCAUCAUCAACAUCAGCACCGAACUCGCUGGACUUUAUAAACUACAGAUCAUCAGCUCUUCUAAAAAGUCGUCAUGCAAGGAAUUCAAUGUUACUGUCUCUGCAGGCCUGGAACCAGAUCAUACACAACUGAAAUGGGGACUGCUGGGACUGGGACUGCUGGGACUGCUGGGACUGCUGGUGCUUGUUGGUGUUGUGAUUUGCUGUUGCUGAAAAGCAAGAGGAAAUGG